UACGCGUACAAUACGAUUCCUUGUCUCUUUUCUCAGCGUCUCUCUCCAGGGUACGAUUGCAGCAGGAAAGAGCAGUUCGCGUGCUCGUCCUUGUUGGUGUGAGAUCGAUCCACGUUGCCCCAAGGAUGUUCAGAUCGAUCUAGCCCUCUAUCCUCUUUUCCCUUUCCGGAGUGGAGACAAAUCAUGGGGAAAAGGUUGUUUCUCCAAAAUUGUGAAAGAUUUUUUGGAGGGCUUACAGGUUUUCACUAAGAGAAGAUUAGAAAUUCAGGGAACGAUUAUUUUUUUUAGCUAGAGAAAUUCGUGAGAAAGUUGUUUUUUCGAUUGAGAAAAUUUUCUGCCACAACUUUCCAGAGCAAAAUAUACCAGGAGUAAACCAAGCGAGCAUUCCAUUAAGUUUGCUGCGACAUUCAAGAUUUCGUUUGGGUUUCUCUGUUGCUGUCAGCAUCUGUGCUUUGUGUGAUGAAGGUGGUCGUUCUACUGCCCAUUUCUUGUCUCAGUCGCUACUCCAAAAGAGGUGUUUAACUUUGCUGUAAGGGACAAUAGGCGAGGUCCCUUUGUUAAGGUUAAUCUACUUUUGCUGACGUUAAUGUUUUGGUUUUGCUCUAUUUUGCUGCUAAUUGCAAAUAUAUGUACACCCUUAGCUUCCUAGCACAUUGGGAGUUUGAUUGAUAGCUUUUACAUGGUCUUAUAUGAACUCACACAUUACGAUUACUUUUACUUGAUAGCUUUUAUUGUAGGUAAUGAUAAUUUUCUUGAAGCUGCAUGAUCUUUCACAAGGAACAAGUAAGACAUGAGCAGCUGCCACUGCAAAUUGCUGUAGUGUGUGUAGUACUUGUCCAAAUUGGAAUUGGCAAUUACGUUUUAGGGCAAUGUCUAAAUAAAUAAUAAAGGAUGUUCUGUUUUUCCUUCUUUAGCAUAAGGUUUGCCUCCUCCUACUGAAUCAUAAGCAUCUAAACUUUUUUAUGAACAUAAACGGUGAAAUCUUUGAGAGUUGCUUCCUGAAUCUUAACUAAAAAGUGUAGCAUACCUCAUUCUAAUUGGGAUUCACAAUGGUGGAGGAAAAGAAUCUGAAAAAGAAGUAUUCUAGCUUCAAAGAAACAUGAGAGUCUACUAGAUAUAUUUUUAAAUUUUCUCUUGUUUUGUCGUCUAAAUAGAGUUUCAAACAACCAAAUCUUCUGUCCUAGCUAGUGGAGCUAUGUGAUGAUCAAAAUAAGCUGGUGAUAGUAAUAUUGACGAGAAUGUUUACAUUCAUCAUGGACUUUUGCUUAUGUUUCAUACCUUCAGUUUCAUUGUAAGCUAUCAAGGUCAUUUGCCAUUUUUAAGCAGCCUUACUAACACUUCAAGUUUACUUUCUAAAUGCGGAAUUAGAGUCUAUUUCCCCUCUCCUACAUUUGAUUGAGGGAUGCUACUUUCUACAUCAUAUCUUUUGUUAUGGAACUUCUUUUUAGCUUUGAAGAGGAUCACAUGUACCUCUUGGAAAUGAGGUUCCAUGGCAUUGUUUGUGUCAUCAAUCCAAUUUAAAACUCUCUUGUAUGGGCCUAUUAUCCGAUUGAAUAAAUAUAGACGAGAAAAAAAAAUUCUGUAAUGUAGACCAGAAAAAAAUGACGUGGUUAAUAUUUUUCAAGGUCAAUAACGUGGUUGAUUGAAUCCAUGGCAUGCUACUGUCUUAUUUUAUUUUCAAGAUUUAUGUGCACAUGUUAUGUACCAAAUCUCUGUUUACACUGAAAUUUUGUACUAAUUAUUAGCUGUAAUAUGGUUAGUUUGAUGUCACAGCUUAGCUUAGCAGCAAUCAUACACUUCAUCGAUCAUCGAUGUUUUAAGUAGAUGAAUUUGCAAAUACUAUUUACUUGCCAGCCAGCUUCAGUGGUAUUAAGAUCAUCACCAAAAGUACCAGAAAUGAUCCAGCAUGUUUGAUAGGACAGAAAAUAUUUUCCUAUAAGUAAUUUUGUGGACAACGAUUUUCUAAAAUAUUUUGUACAAAAACACAAUAUUUGCGUCCAGUUAAGAUAUUAUAGAAUCAUAACAUGCAAACAGAUUGUCCACCAAGGACUUUUCCAUUUUGAAUUCUAUACGUUUGCACUA